rnacentral:lncRNA from 1 species
GGGACUACAGGCGCCUGCAACCACGCCCGGCUAAUUUUUUGUAUUUUUAGUAGAGACGGAGUUUUUUAGUAGAGACGGGGUUUCACUGUGUUAGCCAGGACGGUCUCGAUUUCCUGACCUCGUGAUCCACCCGCCUUGGCCUCCCAAAGUGCUGGGAUUACAGGCGUGAGCCACCGCACCUGGCCUAUUAAAUCCUCUUUAAGGUGGAAUAUAGUUGACAAGCCGACAUCAGUCUCCAGAGUGAAUCCAAGGAGUGGACCCAAGACAUUUGUGUUCUGUGAUGUGGUGGCAUGUUACCUGUCAUCUCUGAUGCAUAACUCCUAAAGUGUUUGCGUCUGGGGCAGUUGUACAGAUUGCAAAGGAUAAUACUCAAGAUGUCCUCCAAGGCCAACUACUCAUCAGUUUAUUCAUGUUUCUGGGACUGGAUUCAUGAAUUCAUCCUUUCAACUAUUUCAACAAGCUUUUUCAUGUAACUAAUCUGUGGAAGGUAGAAAGGGGAAAACUGUUGGGUGCUAAAAUGACAACUGGUUCA